AUCUCCGUCCGCCUUCUCUCCCACCUAAGUGCCUGCCGCCACCUGAUGGAAGAUUCGAUGGAUAUGGACAUAAGCCCCAUGAGGCCCCAGAACUAUCUUUUCAGUUGUGAACUAAAGGCUGACAAAGACGAUCACUUUAAGGUGGAUAAUGAUGAAAAUGAGCACCAGUUAUCUUUAAGAAUGGUCAGUUUAGGGGCUGCUGCAAAGGAUGAAUUGCUCAUUGUUGAAGCAGAGGCAAUGAAUUACGAAGGCAGUCCAAUUAAAGUAACACUGGCAACUUUGAAAAUGUCUGUACAGCCAAUGGUUUCCCUUGGGGGCUUUGAAAUAACACCACCAGUGGUCUUAAGGUUGAAGUGUGGUUCGGGGCCAGUGCAUAUUAGUGGACAGCACUUAGUAGCUGUGGAGGAAGAUUCAGAGUCAGAAGAUAAAGAGGAGGAGAACGUGAAACUCUUAAGUAUAUCUGGAAAGCAGUCUGCCCCUGGAGGUGGUAGCAAGAUUCCACAGAAAAGAGUAAAACUUGCUGCUGAUGAAGAUGAUGAUGAUGAUGAAGACGACGAUGAUGAUGAUUUUGAUGAUGAGGAAGCUGAAGAAAAAGCCCCAGUGAAGAAAUCUAUACAAGAUACUCCAGCCAAAAAUCCACAAAAGUCAAAUCAGAAUGGAAAAGACUCAAAACCAUCAUCAACACCAAGAUCAAAAGGACAAGAAUCCUUCAAAAAACAGGAAAAAACUCCUAAAACACCAAAGGAACCAGUUCCGUAGAAGACAUUAAAGCAAAAAUGCAAGCAAGUAUAGAAAAAGUGCAUUGAACAGCUCUGGGCACUACAUGUAAAUUAAGCCCAAAGAUGAGGAGAAAGGAAAAGGAGAGACAAAUAUAGUCCAUACUGAGUGUCAUCAACAAUCCAGACUGAAGUCUUCUAUUUAAAUCUCAAUCCCCUUUUCGAUUUGCCACCCAUGCCUCUUCAGGCUGGAAACAAUCUCACUCUUGGUUCCCUAAAGCACUUUCUUCUGACUGCUGUGAUACAGUGAAGCUUGCCCUUUGCUUUCUAUUACUUGUGCAUUUGCCUCACCUCUGACAAUGUUUUAAAUCGCCUUUGUAUCUCCUCAGCUGCUCAGUAAAUAUUUGAAUGAAUCAAAAAAAAAAAAAAA